CCUACGGGAGGCAGCAGUGGGGAAUUUUCCGCAAUGGGCGAAAGCCUGACGGAGCAACGCCGCGUGAGGGAUGAAGGCCACUGGGCUGUAAACCUCUUUUAUCAAGGAAGAAGAUCUGACGGUACUUGAUGAAUAAGCCACGGCUAAUUCCGUGCCAGCAGCCGCGGUAAUACGGGAGUGGCAAGCGUUAUCCGGAAUUAUUGGGCGUAAAGCGUCCGCAGGCGGUCUUGUAAGUCUGUCGUUAAAGCGUGGAGCUCAACUCCAUUUCGGCGGUGGAAACUACAAGACUAGAGUGUGGUAGGGGCAGAGGGAAUUCCCGGUGUAGCGGUGAAAUGCGUAGAUAUCGGGAAGAACACCAGUGGCGAAGGCGCUCUGCUGGGCCAUAACUGACGCUCAUGGACGAAAGCUAGGGGAGCGAAAGGGAUUAGAUACCCCUGUAGUCCUAGCCGUAAACGAUGAACACUAGGUGUCGGGGGAAUCGACCCCCUCGGUGUCGUAGCUAACGCGUUAAGUGUUCCGCCUGGGGAGUACGCACGCAAGUGUGAAACUCAAAGGAAUUGACGG
rnacentral:rRNA from 1 species